CCUACGGGUGGCAGCAGUAGGGAAUUUUCGUCAAUGGGCGCAAGCCUGAACGAGCAAUGCCGCGUGAACGAGGAAGGUCUUCGGCUCGUAAAGCUCUGUUGAUGGGGAAACAGAGCGGAGCGCGGUAAUGCUUUCUGAUUGAUAUUGCCCUUCGAGGACGUCACGGCUAACUACGUGCCAGCAGCUGCGGUAAUACGUAGGUGGCGUGCGUUAUCUGGUUUGAUUGGGCGUAAAGGGUGCGUAGGGGGCCUGCUAAGUCUCGAGUGAAAGGUACCGGCUCAACCGGUACAGGCUGUUGAAACUGGCGGGAUAGAGAGCAGGAGAGGUCGGUGGAACGCGAUGUGUAGUGGUGAAAUGCGUAGAUAUAGGGAAGAACACCAGUGGCGAAGGCAGCCGCCUGGCCGGUUACUGACGCUGAGGCACGAAAGCGUGGGGAGCAAAUAGGAUUAGAUACCCCUGUAGUC
rnacentral:rRNA from 1 species